GGGACCGUCGCUCAGUGGCCGAGCAUCUGGCUUUUAACCAGAACCAGGAAGGGUUCGAAUCCCUCCGGUCUCACCA
rnacentral:tRNA from 1 species